UCCUCGCAGUCGCAUUAGGGUAUUUCGGCUGGAAAUUACGUCGGUCCGUCGGUUGCUGCUCGCCUGAAGGAAGGAGCCAGGGGCUGUGUGUUGUCCUAGAAAGUCCUCGACCCUGAGGGUAUGAUAAAAGGAGGACAGGCGACAAGUACAGUACUAGAAGGACCCAAACCGUCUUGGCUGUCACCUUAGGCUAAUGUCUUAGUUCCCUAACCCUGUCUCCUCAUCAGUAAAGUGGAGAUAUUAUUAGCACCUACUUAGUAUUUUUGGAAGGAUUACGUGAAAUAACGGAUGAAGCUGUACGCAGCACGGAGCACCUAACUCCCAUGGAGACGGGUUGAUGACAGAAGAGAUAAUUCCAACUUGUAUUUACAAAAUGAAUCAAAAUAUUUUUUUUAAAUUGAGGACUGAAUAAAAUAACAAACAGCUGGAAAUAAGCAGACUACUGUAAGAGUGAAUUGAAAAGAAAACCCAAUGAAACAAGUCAGAAAAUCAGUGGAGUUAAAGCCAGAGUAAAAGGCUCUGGGAAGCCCGUGCUGUGAUCCACGUGACAUCAGGAGCCACAAUUCCUGUGGAAGAUUCAGGAGGGACCCUGGUGGUAGAGACACUUUCUCUGCUUUGAAGGGCUGCCUGGACACUCCCACCUUUACACUAUGGGAAGACAUUUCCUUUUCUGUACAAACAUGGUCUUUGAUGUCAGACCAGACGUUUGAAUCCUCCCCGCACAGUGACUAAAAUCAUCUUCUAAAUGCCUACAUUUCCAAAGGGCACUUAUUUCUAAAAUAUGCACACCUGUGUAUCAGACUGUUCAUUUUCCCUUCCCCCAGCGGCAAUUAUUAAAAUAAAACAACCCAAAGCACAAUAUUAAACAAAAACAUUCAUAUUUCUCACCUGAACACAAAGGCCAAACAAUCUUCUAAAUAUUUAAUAAAAUAAAUUACCGUCCACAGUUUUCUAGUGAGAUAAAUACAAGAGUAAAUGUUUGCAGCUUAACAUCAACUUCACUUUGAAUGCUUAAAAUAUUUCAUAUUUAAAUAAGAGAAACUGGUUCUGCAUCGCAUGCCUCUCUUGCCCUUCUAUCCACGGUCUGUGAACUAUGGAGAGCAAUAUUCUAGAAUUAUAGCAUCUAGAGGCAGCUAGUCUAGAACUAGUUCACUCUGAGAUAUCCUCGUAGGGUUCCUAGAUUAUACCAAGAACAUAAUCAUUCACAAAGUAAACGCUUCAUGUCCUCACAUGGGGAGUGUGUGUUUGCUCUGGGUAUAAUCUUUGGGUCCUUCUUAUAAUAAAA